rnacentral:rRNA from 1 species
UACGUAGGGCGCAAGCGUUAUCCGGAAUUAUUGGGCGUAAAGAGCUCGUAGGCGGUUUGUCGCGUCUGCCGUGAAAGUCCGGGGGCUCAACUCCGGAUCUGCGGUGGGUACGGGCAGACUAGAGUGAUGUAGGGGGAGACUGGAAUUCCUGGUGUAGCGGUGAAAUGCGCAGAUAUCAGGAGGAACACCGAUGGCGAAGGCAGGUCUCUGGGCAUUAACUACGCUGAGGAGCGAAAGCAUGGGGGAGCGAACAGG